AGCCGGUACAAGCGUAUAGCAGUCAUGCAGGCAAAACCGCAUGAAAAAUGUAAAGCGUUAUGUGGAUCGAACAUUAGUAGAGAAGCGUGUGAGCCAGCUGCCAAGAAAAGCCGCUAUUGUUUCAUAAGUACCCGUACCGUAAACCGACACAGGUGGAUGAGGAGAGAAUCCUAAGGCCGGCGGGAGAAGUGUUGUUAAGGAACUCGGCAAAAUGACUCCGUAACUUCGGGAGAAGGAGUGCCACAGAGAUGUGGCCGCAGAGAAAUGGCCCAAGCAACUGUUUAGCAAAAACACAGGUCUAUGCAAAACCGAAAGGUGAGGUAUAUGGGCUGACGCCUGCCCGGUGCUGGAAGGUUAAGAGGAGAGGUUAGAGCAAUCGAAGCUUUGAAUUUAAGCCCCAGUAAACGGCGGCCGUAACAAUAACGGUCCUAAGGUAGCGAAAUUCCUUGUCGGGUAAGUUCCGACCCGCACGAAAGGCGUAAUGAUUUGGGCACUGUCUCAACAACACACCCGGUGAAAUUGAAAUACCAGUGAAGAUGCUGGUUACCUGCGCCAGGACGGAAAGACCCCAUGGAGCUUUACUCCAGUUUGAUACUGGGAUUCGGUACUGUCUGUACAGGAUAGGUGGGAGGCUAGGAAAUGGUGACGCCAGUUGCCAUGGAGCCAACCUUGGGAUACCACCCUUACAGUACUGGGUUUCUAACCUGCAGCCGUAACCCGGCUGGGGGACAAUGUCUGACGGGGAGUUUGACUGGGGCGGUCGCCUCCGAAAGAGUAUCGGAGGCGCUCAAAGGUUCCCUCAGAACGGUUGGAAACCGUUCGAAGAGUGCAAAGGCAGAAGGGAGCUUGACUGCGACACCGACGGGUGGAGCAGAUACGAAAGUAGGACUUAGUGAUCCGGUGGUAUAAAGUGGGAUUGCCAUCGCUCAACGGAUAAAAGCUACCCUGGGAUAACAGGCUUAUCACUCCCAAGAGUUCACAUCGACGGAGUGGUUUGGCACCUCGAUGUCGGCUCAUCGCAUCCUGGAGCUGUAGCAGGUUCCAAGGGUUGGGCUGUUCGCCCAUUAAAGCGGUACGCGAGCUGGGUUCAGAACGUCGUGAGACAGUUCGGUCCCUAUCCGGCGUGGGCGUAGGAUAUUUGAGAGGAGCUGUCCUUAGUACGAGAGGACCGGGAUGGACAAACCUCUGGUGUAUCUGUUGUUUUACCAAAGGCAUGGCAGAGUAGCCAAGUUUGGCAGGGAUAAACGCUGAAGGCAUCUAAGCGUGAAGCCCCCCUCAAGAUAAGAUAUCCCAUCUUCGGAGUAAGACCCCUUGAAGACUACAAGGUUGAUAGGCUUCAGGUGUAAGUGUGGUAACGCACUCAGCUGAGAAGUACUAAUAGGUCGAGGACUUAU
rnacentral:rRNA from 1 species